GAUGAACGCUGGCGGCGUGCUUAACACAUGCAAGUCGAACGGAAAGGCCCAAGCUUGCUUGGGUACUCGAGUGGCGAACGGGUGAGUAACACGUGGGUGAUCUGCCCUGCACUUCGGGAUAAGCCUGGGAAACUGGGUCUAAUACCGGAUAGGACCACUUCUUGGAUGUUGUGGUGGAAAGUUUUUCGGUGUGGGAUGAGCUCGCGGCCUAUCAGCUUGUUGGUGGGGUAAUGGCCUACCAAGGCGUCGACGGGUAGCCGGCCUGAGAGGGUGUACGGCCACAUUGGGACUGAGAGACGGCCCAGAGUCCUACGGGAGGCAGCAGUGGGGAAUAUUGCACAAUGGGCGCAAGCCUGAUGCAGCGACGCCGCGUGGGGGAUGACGGCCUUCGGGUUGUAAACUCCUUUCGCUAGGGACGAAGCGUAUUUUGUGACGGUACCUGGAGAAGAAGCACCGGCUAACUACGUG
rnacentral:rRNA from 1 species